rnacentral:snRNA from 1 species
GUCUUUGCGCAGUGGCAGUAUCGUAGCCAAAGAGGUUUAUCCAAGGCGCGAUUAUUGCUAAUUGAAAACUUUUCCCAGAGGUGC